rnacentral:lncRNA from 1 species
GGGUGGAUCACGAGGUGAAGAGAUCGAGACCAUCCUGGUCAACAGGGUGAAACCCCGUCUCUACUAAAAAUACAAAAAAUUAGCUGGGCAUGGUGGCGCGUGCCUGUAAUCCCAGCUAGUCAGGAGGCUGAGGCAGGAGAAUUGCCUGAACCCAGGAGGCGGAGGUUGCCGUGAGCCGAGAUCGCGCCAUUGCACUCCAGCCUGGGUAACAAGAGCGAAACUCCGUCUCAAAAAUAAAUAAAUAAAUAAAUAAUUGUUUUAUUGUUUAUGCAUCCCAUUAGUGGGUGAGGCCAUACCUUUUUUUUUUUUUUUUUUUUUUUUUGAGACGCAGUUUUUCGCUCUUGUUACCCAGGCUGGAGUGCAAUGGCACGAUCUUGGCUCACCGCAACCUCCGCCUCCUGGGUUCAGGCAAUUCUCCUGCCUCCACCUCCUGACUAGCUGGGAUUACAGGCACGUGCCACCAUGCCCAGCUAAUUUUUUGUAUUUUUAGUAGAGACGGGGUUUCACCCUGUUGACCAGGAUGGUCUCGAUCUCUUCACCUCGUGAUCCACCCGCCUCGGCCUCCCAAAGUGCUGGGAUUACAGGCGUGAGCCACCGCGCCCGGCCGAGGCCAUACCUUUACAAUGAUUUUCACCUGCCAAAGUCAACUUAUUGGGUCUGCAGCAGAUUAGAGGGUCUCUGUUCCUUUUCCUAACAUUUGUGAAUGCUAUUUAUUAUGCAUGGGAUGAUUAUAAAUACCAAACUAAAAAUCCUUUUCAAGCUCUUUUUCUUUAUGUCGUUAAAUUCUGUCUUUUCAGAUAUCUCCACAAAGAUAUUUGUUUCUAAGAAAACCAGUUGGUGUAGGGGUGGGCGAAACCACAAUGAACAUCAUAAUAGUAAGGGUAUUGUUCUUCUUCUACUUGACCAGUGUCUACUCCUGGACCCAGGGCUUGCUGGAGUGGGCUAAAUGAAUGAAGCAAUCAGCCACAUUCUAGAAAGUAGAGUAGAAGACUCUUCUUACAUGCUCCAUCAGAGUGAAGAAUUCUGCACCGGACCCCUAGCUUCUCAAGCCCAAGCUUGCACAUGGCAGCCCCUGGGUACCUCUAUUCUACUUUCUGUCUCUGGAUUUGGGCAACCAGGCAAAACCUGUCCCAGCCUUGUUGCAGCAGAGGUAAGGUCAUGUUCACAGGACUCAUUUUUAAUUUUCAGAAAUGUCGCCUAUAAUUUUACCAUCAUUAUUAACAUUUUGGCAUUUUUCCAUCUAGCCCUUUUCCCUGCUGUUACCUCACUACUGAAGUUUUACUAUAUAAGCAGUUUGCUAUACUCUUAAGGCACUGUGAGC